UACGAAGGGGGCUAGCGUUGUUCGGAAUUACUGGGCGUAAAGCGCACGUAGGCGGAUUUGUAAGUCAGGGGUGAAAUCCCGGGGCUCAACCUCGGAACUGCCUUUGAUACUGCAAGUCUCGAGUCCGAUAGAGGUGAGUGGAAUUCCUAGUGUAGAGGUGAAAUUCGUAGAUAUUAGGAAGAACACCAGUGGCGAAGGCGGCUCACUGGAUCGGUACUGGACGCUGAGGUGCGAAAGCGUGGGGAGCAAACAGG
rnacentral:rRNA from 1 species